rnacentral:rRNA from 1 species
UAGGGAAUCUUCCGCAAUGGACGAAAGUCUGACGGAGCAACGCCGCGUGAGUGAAGAAGGAUUUCGGUUCGUAAAACUCUGUUGUUAGGGAAGAAAAAAUGUAUAGUAACUAUAUACAAAAGAGACGGUACCUAACCAGAAAGCCACGGCUAACUACGUGCCAGCAGCCGCGGUAAUACGUAGGUGGCAAGCGUUGUCCGGAAUUAUUGGGCGUAACGCGCGCGCAGGUGGUUUAGAAAGUCUGAUGUGAAAGCCCACGGCUCAACCGUGGAGGGUCAUUGGAAACUAAUAAACUUGAGUGCAGGAGAGAAAAGUGGAAUUCCUAGUGUAGCGGUGAAAUGCGUAGAGAUUAGGAGGAACACCGGUGGCGAAAGCGGCUUUUUGGCCUGCAACUGACACUGAGGCGCGAAAGCGUGGGGAGCAAACAGG